AUUGAACGCUGGCGGCAGGCUUAACACAUGCAAGUCGAGCGAGCGGCGGACGGGUGAGUAAUGUCUGGGGAACUGCCUGAUGGAGGGGGAUAACUACUGGAAACGGUAGCUAAUACCGCAUACCAUCAGAUGAACCCAUAUGGGAUUAGCUUGUAGGUGGGGUAACGGCUCACCUAGGCGACGAUCCCUAGCUGGUCUGAGAGGAUGACCAGCCACACUGGAACUGAGACACGGCCCAGACUCCUACGGGAGGCAGCAGUGGGGAAUAUUGCACAAUGGGCGCAAGCCUGAUGCAGCCAUGCCGCGUGUAUGAAGAAGGCCUUCGGGUUGUAAAGUACUUUCAGUCGGGAGGCGUUACCGGCAGAAGAAGCACCGGCUAACUCCGUGCCAGCAGCCGCGGUAAUAC
rnacentral:rRNA from 1 species